UCUUUUCUCUUCUUUUUCUAACAUACAUAACUUUCUUUCUUUGUUUUUGGUAUGAUAUUUGUUUGACAACAAUGGAUGUUUCCGACAGUGAUAGCUUGACCAGUAUGUAAGACAAGUGGAGUUAUUGUUCUUUUGAGUGAAUAUGAGAGGGUGGAUUUGAAAGGAUUUGAAGAUAAAUUUUUUUGUCGUUUAUUUGAGUGAAUUUGGAGGUAAAUGAGAGUGAACUUGGAAAUAAAAUUUGUGAGAAUUAGUAUAGAAUUGUAUCGACGUGACAAAUUAAAAAAAUUUAUUUCCAAAUUCACUCUCAUUUACCUCCAAAUUCAUUCAAAUAAACGACAAAAAAAUUUAUCUUCAAAUCCUUUCAAAUCCCCUCAAAUCCACUCACUCUAAUCCACUCAAAAGAACAAGGACUAUAGAUGGACCACGUUAUUCUAACAACAAAUUUUGCACACUUUUUUUACAACGCCACGUGUCGAAUGUUUAUAGGUUUAAUUUAAUUUUUUUUUUCUUAAAAACCGUCUUAAUGGAAGUACGUAAGUUUUGUUUUAAGUGAGAAUCUCAAAAUACCCCUGUCUGUUUCGUUGGAAAUGAAGGUCUCGUUUCCCUGCCUCUUCAUUUUGCUUUCUUUGUGAUGGUUCUUUGUGCGUCGUGUUGUCUCCCUCCAUUUUCGUAAAGGUGUUGUUUUUCGUAGAUGUUAUAGUGCGCAAUGGGAAGUUCCGGUGAGCAUUGUCCGACGACGAAGGUAAGUGGUUUGUCGUUCCAUUUCGUUCCAUGGUUUUUUGGUUUGGGUUUAGGUUUGGGGUUCGUAUCGCUUUGUUUUGGUUAUUGGGUUUAGUAGUUGUGCUUAUUUUAUUUUGGUUGAUGCAGUUGACCGUUCGUCACUCUUUUUCGAUAAAGUAUAUAUGUACUUUGAACGAACGCUUGACAGACGAGCAUCGGUCAUUGAUUGCGAAGACUCCAUUUGCGUGGUUUUUAGAUUUGAAUGUAAAUGUUAAACUAGGUAAAAAUAUAUUGAGUGAGUUAUUGGGUAAGUGGGACGACUCGAGUAGUGGUUUUUUUGUUGGAAAUAAAGUUUUGAAUAUAAAUGAAAAUGAUUUUUAUUUAGGGUUGGGAUUGAGUACAGAUGGUGAAAAUAUUAACUUAAAGGAGGAAAUGGGAAAUAUUCUAUGUGUGAAAUACAUAGGUAAAGGAACAAAGGAUUUGAAUUCGAUAUACAAAAUUCUAAUGCGAAAACACAAGAAAAAGAUCCCUUGUUCUCAUUUUUGUAGCCUUUACCUAUUGGUAGGGAUAUGUGAGAUUUUAUUUCCAAAACGUAGCGGAAAAAUGUUUGCCGUAAUGUUUAAUAUUGUUGACAACUUAAGUGGUUUGGGUAGUUAUUGUUGGGGUAGUCUAGUUUAUCUUUUUUGUUACGUAGUUUGUGCAAAGCUUCAGAAGGCUUGAAGAAAGGCAAAGGUACAACAAACGUUUACGUGGAUGGUUGUGUUUACAUGCUGCAGGUAUGGUUUUUUGAGCAUUUUGUUCCACCCGAAGGUCCAAUUGAUAAAUUUCCACGAAUAUUGCAUUGGAUGAAUAGAAGUGUUGGAGACAAGUUUGUAAAACGGUGUAUGGAGACAGGUUUGGAUAAGAAGGAAUACAGACCAACACCAACAAGAAAGGAUGCCCAACCAAGACCAAAUAAGAUACAAAAAAAGAAAUCGAAGAGAAACUUUUAUGCGUGCCUUAGAGGACCAAGAAUUUCUAAUUGAACAACUUAAAAGGAGGGUUGCAGGUUUGGAGGCACAAUUGGCUGAAGAGAAGGCAAGACGACAAAAUAAAGAUCACGGUGGAGAAAGUGUGCCUUGUACAGAACCAUCCAUGAACACUGGUUUUGUAUCCCCUACUGACAUUGACACAAAUCAACAACCUUUGAAGACGUAUAUUAAGGUUGGAUCACGAAGGCGUUACAAGGGAAGAGCACUUAGGACUCCAUACACCGGAACCGUAGUGCUUAGAAUAAAAAAUGAGUGAUAUGUGUAUUGAGUUGAUUAAUGGAAAGUAAAUGAUCAUUGUAAAUAGAUUAAGAAAACAAAGUGUAAUGUAUCAGAUUUAGUUGAAUAAUAU